UUAAAAUAACACUCUUUGCUGCUUUCUUUAUAAAAUUAUGAGAGUACAAAACAAUAACUUCAAAGUCCACGAAAAUACCAAAAAAAAAAAAAAAAUACAAAUUAUCUGAUGCCAACACAAUAACUAAAUGAUAACUCCGCAGGACGUUUAUGUCCCUCUCUUGAGUCUGAUAUUCAUAGAAUCAGUGAAUCUUUGCAAAAUAUCUACAAACUUCACGAAUACAUAUUUUUCUAACACCAAUCUCUUCUUGACAAUCAUCAUCAGUUUCACAUGGAGAUGGUAGAAAUUGUAUUGUAAUGAAAAAAAGAUAACAAAACAACGUUAUUAAAACAUGAUAAAAGAUCAUGUACGAUCUAUAAAGUAAAUAAUGAAAUUUGAAAUGAUGAAGAAAAAAAAAGGUUCACCGGAUGCUGUUGCGACACGAAACAAGGAAAGAAAUAGAAUCGUGACAUAAACAAAAUUAAUAAUUUCAGUCAUUGCUUUUUCUCUUUGCAUGUAAAAUGUUGAAUAUGAUUUUAUCACUUUAUAGUGUGUAAAUUCCAUACUCACCUAAAAAUAAUUAAGUAGUUUUUAGCAUUGACAAAGUUGUAAAAACUCUAAAAAUUUUGAAUCAUUAUUAAAUGUAUGUUAAGUAUAUCAAUGUGUUGUGUUUGUCCCUUUAGCAUACUUAAUAAGGAAACAUAUGAAUAUAAUGCACCAUUUUUUUUUUAAGAAGGAAUAAUGCACCAUUUGGUUGGGAACAUAUUUA
rnacentral:lncRNA from 1 species